rnacentral:rRNA from 1 species
UACGAAGGGGGCUAGCGUUGCUCGGAAUUACUGGGCGUAAAGCGCACGUAGGCGGCUUCUUAAGUCGGUGGUGAAAUCCUGGAGCUCAACUCCAGAACUGCCUUCGAUACUGGGAAGCUCGAGUCCGGGAGAGGUGAGUGGAACUGCGAGUGUAGAGGUGAAAUUCGUAGAUAUUCGCAAGAACACCAGUGGCGAAGGCGGCUCACUGGCCCGGUACUGACGCUGAGGUGCGAAAGCGUGGGAGCAACAGG